rnacentral:rRNA from 1 species
GUGGUACGAGUGUCUCAUGUAUUGAAAGGUGCUUGCAUCUUGAUUUAGAUUUUGAACGAGUGGCGGACGGGUGAGUAACACGUGGGUAACCUGCCCUUAAGUGGGGGAUAACAUUUGGAAACAGAUGCUAAUACCGCAUAAAUCCAAGAACCGCAUGGUUCUUGGCUGAAAGAUGGCGUAAGCUAUCGCUUUUGGAUGGACCCGCGGCGUAUUAGCUAGUUGGUGAGGUAACGGCUCACCAAGGCAAUGAUACGUAGCCGAACUGAGAGGUUGAUCGGCCACAUUGGGACUGAGACACGGCCCAAACUCCUACGGGAGGCAGCAGUAGGGAAUCUUCCACAAUGGACGCAAGUCUGAUGGAGCAACGCCGCGUGAGUGAAGAAGGCUUUCGGGUCGUAAAACUCUGUUGUUGGAGAAGAAUGGUCGGCAGAGUAACUGUUGUCGGCGUGACGGUAUCCAACCAGAAAGCCACGGCUAACUACGUGCCAGCAGCCGCGGUAAUACGUAGGUGGCAAGCGUUAUCCGGAUUUAUUGGGCGUAAAGCGAGCGCAGGCGGUUUUUUAAGUCUGAUGUGAAAGCCCUCGGCUUAACCGAGGAAGUGCAUCGGAAACUGGGAAACUUGAGUGCAGAAGAGGACAGUGGAACUCCAUGUGUAGCGGUGAAAUGCGUAGAUAUAUGGAAGAACACCAGUGGCGAAGGCGGCUGUCUGGUCUGUAACUGACGCUGAGGCUCGAAAGCAUGGGUAGCGAACAGGAUUAGAUACCCUGGUAGUCCAUGCCGUACACGAUGAAUGCUAGGUGUUGGAGGGUUUCCGCCCUUCAGUGCCGCAGCUAACGCAUUAAGCAUUCCGCCUGGGGAGUACGACCGCAAGGUUGAAACUCACAGGAAUUGACGGGGGCCCGCACAAGCGGUGGAGCAUGUGGUUUAAUUCGAAGCAACGCGAAGAACCUUACGAGGUCUUGACAUCUUUUGAUCACCUGAGAGAUCAGGUAAC